rnacentral:rRNA from 1 species
GAUGAACGCUGACAGAAUGCUUAACACAUGCAAGUCUUUGGCGAAGCUGUGCUUGCACAGCCUAGCCAAGGCGGACGGGUGAGUAACGCGUAAGGAACUUGCCCUGCAGUCAGGGAUAACAGACGGAAACGACUGAUAAGACCUGGUAAAGUCAGGCGGACUCAUGUCCAGCCUGAUGAAAAGAGAUGCUGCAGGAGAGCCUUGCGUCCUAUUAGUUUGUUGGUGGGGUAACGGCCCACCAAGGCGAUGAUAGGUAGCCGGCCUGAGAGGGUGGACGGCCACAAGGGGACUGAGAUACGGCCCUUACUCCUACGGGAGGCAGCAGUGGGGAAUAUUGGACAAUGGGGGCAACACUGAUCCAGCAAUUCUGUGUGCACGAUGAAGGUUUUCGGAUUGUAAAGUGCUUUCAGCAGGGAAGAAAAAAAUGACGGUACCUGCAGAAGAAGCGACGGCUAAAUACGUG